GAUGAACGCUAGCUACAGGCUUAACACAUGCAAGUCGAGGGGCAGCAUGGUCUUAGCUUGCUAAGACUGAUGGCGACCGGCGCACGGGUGCGUAACGCGUAUGCAACUUGCCUCACAGAGGGGGAUAACCCGUCGAAAGACGGACUAAUACCGCGUACACUCUAUGUUGGGCAUCCAAUGUAGAGGAAAUGAAAUUCGCUGUGAGAUAGGCAUGCGUCCCAUUAGCUAGUUGGUGAGGUAACGGCUCACCAAGGCAACGAUGGGUAGGGGAACUGAGAGGUUGAACCCCCACACUGGUACUGAGACACGGACCAGACUCCUACGGGAGGCAGCAGUGAGGAAUAUUGGUCAAUGGGCGAGAGCCUGAACCAGCCAAGUCGCGUGAAGGAUGACUGUCUUAUGGAUUGUAAACUUCUUUUAUACGGGAAUAACAAGAGUCACGUGUGACUCCCUGCAUGUACCGUAUGAAUAAGCAUCGGCUAACUCCGUGCCAGCAGCCGCGGUAAUACGGAGGAUGCGAGCGUUAUCCGGAUUUAUUGGGUUUAAAGGGUGCGUAGGCGGCCUGUUAAGUCAGCGGUGAAAUCUAGGAGCUUAACUCCUAAAUUGCCAUUGAUACUGGCGGGCUUGAGUGUAGAUGAGGUAGGCGGAAUGCGUGGUGUAGCGGUGGAAUGCAUAGAUAUCACGCAGAACUCCGAUUGCGAAGGCAGCUUACUAAGGUACAACUGACGCUGAAGCACGAAAGCGUGGGUAUCAAACAGG
rnacentral:rRNA from 1 species